GAUGAACGCUGGCGGCGUGCCUAAUACAUGCAAGUCGAGCGAACGGACGAGAAGCUUGCUUCUCUGAUGUUAGCGGCGGACGGGUGAGUAACACGUGGAUAACCUACCUAUAAGACUGGGAUAACUUCGGGAAACCGGAGCUAAUACCGGAUAAUAUUUUGAACCGCAUGGUUCAAAAGUGAAAGACGGUCUUGCUGUCACUUAUAGAUGGAUCCGCGCUGCAUUAGCUAGUUGGUAAGGUAACGGCUUACCAAGGCAACGAUGCAUAGCCGACCUGAGAGGGUGAUCGGCCACCCUGGAACUGAGACACGGUCCAGACUCCUACGGGAGGCAGCAGUAGGGAAUCUUCCGCAAUGGGCGAAAGCCUGACGGAGCAACGCCGCGUGAGUGAUGAAGGUCUUCGGAUCGUAAAACUCUGUUAUUAGGGAAGAACAUAUGUGUAAGUAACUGCGCACAUCUUGACGGUACCUAAUCAGAAAGCCACGGCUAACUACGUG
rnacentral:rRNA from 1 species